GCGCGUGCCCGUCACUUUAACGGUCAACUUCCAGCAGACGGACCCGAAGGAAAAGCAGGUGGAGAGACAGUCUGGGCAGCACCAAGCUGACAACUAUUAUGAUUAUGAGUAGGGAUGAUUAUCGAGAACAGGCCUGCCUGACCGUUCUGUUGCCCUGGAUGUGAAGACACACUGGAACUGCAUUUCUCAUGGUUGAAAGAGUUGCGCAUCGAUAUCAGACAUACAAGAAAACUUCCUGGACCCAUACGACAGAAUGCUCAGGAGGAGA